rnacentral:rRNA from 1 species
AUGUCUCAGUACAAGCCAAAUUAAGGUGAAACCGCGAAAGGCUCAUUAAANCAGUUAUGGUUCCUUAGAUCGUACCCACAUUUACUUGGAUAACUGUGGUAAUUCUAGAGCUAAUACAUGCAAACAGAGCUCCGACCGAACGGAAGGAGCGCUUUUAUUAGAUCAAAACCAAUCGGUGGCGGGUUCGCUCGUCAUCGUACAUCUUGGUGACUCUGAAUAACUUUAAGCUGAUCGCACGGUCUCGCACCGGCGACGCAUCUUUCAAAUGUCUGCCUUAUCAACUGUCGAUGGUAGGUUCUGCGCCUACCAUGGUUGUAACGGGUAACGGGGAAUCAGGGUUCGAUUCCGGAGAGGGAGCCUGAGAAACGGCUACCACAUCCAAGGAAGGCAGCAGGCGCGCAAAUUACCCACUCCCGGCACGGGGAGGUAGUGACGAAAAAUAACGAUACGGGACUCAUCCGAGGCCCCGUAAUCGGAAUGAGUACACUCUAAACCCUUUAACGAGGAUCAAUUGGAGGGCAAGUCUGGUGCCAGCAGCCGCGGUAAUUCCAGCUCCAAUAGCGUAUAUUAAAGUUGUUGCGGUUAAAAAGCUCGUAGUCGAAUCUGUGUCCCGCGCCGCCGGUUCAUCGUCCGCGGUGUUAACUGGCGUGCCGCGGGACGUCCUGCCGGUGGGCUUGCUCGCAAGGGCGGCCCAACUCAAUCCCGCCGCGGUGCUCUUCACUGAGUGUCGAGGUGGGCCGGCACGUUUACUUUGAACAAAUUAGAGUGCUUAAAGCAGGCUAAAACUUCGCCUGAAUACUGUGUGCAUGGAAUAAUGGAAUAGGACCUCGGUUCUAUUUUGUUGGUUUUCGGAACCCCGAGGUAAUGAUUAAUAGGAACGGAUGGGGGCAUUCGUAUUGCGA